UAGGGAAUCUUCCGCAAUGGACGAAAGUCUGACGGAGCAACGCCGCGUGAGUGAUGAAGGUUAUCGGAUCGUAAAACUCUGUUAUUAGGGAAGAACAAAUGCGUAAGUAACUGUGCGCAUCUUGACGGUACCUAAUCAGAAAGCCACGGCUAACUACGUGCCAGCAGCCGCGGUAAUACGUAGGUGGCAAGCGUUAUCCGGAAUUAUUGGGCGUAAAGCGCGCGUAGGCGGUUUCUUAAGUCUGAUGUGAAAGCCCACGGCUCAACCGUGGAGGGUCAUUGGAAACUGGGAAACUUGAGUACAGAAGAGGAAAGUGGAAUUCCAUGUGUAGCGGUGAAAUGCGCAGAGAUAUGGAGGAACACCAGUGGCGAAGGCGACUUUCUGGUCUGUAACUGACACUGAGAGACGAAAGCUAGGGGAGCGAAUG
rnacentral:rRNA from 1 species